CAAGGUAACCAUAGAGUUUGAUCCUGGCUCAUUAAAUCAUAACGAGGUAACCCUGCCCUUUACUGGGGAAUAGCCCGAAGAAAUUUGGAUCAAUGCCCCAUGGUCCCUUCUUGUGGAUUCACGAUUAGGGUAAAGGUUACGGUAAAGGAUGACUAUGCGUCCCAUUAGUUAGUUGGUAGGGUAACGGCCUACCAAGACCGCGAUGGGUAGGGGCCCUGAGAGGGGGAUCCCCCACACUGGUACUGAGACACGGACCAGACUCCUACGGGAGGCAGCAGUGAGGAAUAUUGGACAAUGGGCGAGAGCCUGAUCCAGCCAUGCCGCGUGCAGGAAGACGGUCCUAUGGAUUGUAAACUGCUUUUAUACGGGAAGAACCUAGGGCACGUGUGCUCUACUGACGGUACCGUAAGAAUAAGGAUCGGCUAACUCCGUGCCAGCAGCCGCGGUAAUACGGAGGAUCCGAGCGUUAUCCGGAAUCAUUGGGUUUAAAGGGUCCGUAGGCGGGCCAUUAAGUCAGGGGUGAAAGUCUGCGGCUCAAACCGUAGAAUUGCCCUUGAUACUGGUGGUCUUGAGUUAUGGUGAAGUAACUAGAAUAUGUGGUGUAGCGGUGAAAUGCAUAGAUAUCACAUAGAAUACCGAUUGCGAAGGCAGGUUACUAACCAUAUACUGACGCUGAUGGACGAAAGCGUGGGGGAGCGAACGGGAUUAGAUACCCCGGGUAGUCCACGCCGUAAACGAUGGGAUACUAGCUGUCCGGGCAGCAUUGCUGGGUGGCUAAGCGAAAGUGAUAAGUAUCCCACCUGGGGGAGUACGUCCCGCAGGGAUGAAACUCAAGGGAUUUGACGGGGGGCCCGCC
rnacentral:rRNA from 1 species